UACCCUACGGGAGGCAGCAGUGGGGAAUAUUGGGCAAUGGGCGCAAGCCUGACCCAGCAACGCCGCGUGAAGGAAGAAGGCUUUCGGGUUGUAAACUUCUUUUAUCAGGGACGAAGCAAGUGACGGUACCUGAUGAAUAAGCCACGGCUAACUACGUGCCAGCAGCCGCGGUAAUACGUAGGUGGCAAGCGUUAUUCGGAUUUACUGGGUGUAAAGGGCGUGUAGGCGGGAGUGCAAGUCAGAUGUGAAAACUAUGGGCUCAACCCAUAGCCUGCAUUUGAAACUGUACUUCU
rnacentral:rRNA from 1 species